rnacentral:rRNA from 1 species
UUGAACGCUGGCGGCAUGCUUUACACAUGCAAGUCGAACGGCAGCGCGGGCUUCGGCCUGGCGGCGAGUGGCGAACGGGUGAGUAAUUAUAUCGGAACGUACCCAGAAGUGGGGGAUAACGUAGCGAAAGUUACGCUAAUACCGCAUACGAUCUACGGAUGAAAGUAGGGGACCGCAAGGCCUUAUGCUUUUGGAGCGGCCGAUAUCUGAUUAGCUAGUUGGUGAGGUAAAGGCUCACCAAGGCGACGAUCAGUAGCUGGUCUGAGAGGACGACCAGCCACACUGGAACUGAGACACGGUCCAGACUCCUACGGGAGGCAGCAGUGGGGAAUUUUGGACAAUGGGGGCAACCCUGAUCCAGCAAUGCCGCGUGAGUGAAGAAGGCCUUCGGGUUGUAAAGCUCUUUUGUCAGGGAAGAAACGGCUGUGGCUAAUAUCCACGGCUAAUGACGGUACCUGAAGAAUAGCACCGGCUAACUACGUGCCAGCAGCCGCGGUAAUACGUAGGGUGCAAGCGUUAAUCGGAAUUACUGGGCGUAAAGCGUGCGCAGGCGGUUUGUAAGUCUGACGUGAAAUCCCCGGGCUCAACCUGGGAAUUGCGUUGGAGACUGCAAGGCUGGAGUCUGGCAGAGGGGGGUAGAAUUCCACGUGUAGCAGUGAAAUGCGUAGAGAUGUGGAGGAACACCGAUGGCGAAGGCAGCCCCCUGGGUCAAGACUGACGCUCAUGCACGAAAGCGUGGGGGAGCAAACAGGAUUAGAUACCCUGGUAGUCCACGCCCUAAACGAUGUCUACUAGUUGUCGGGUCUUAAUUAACUUGGUAACGCAGCUAACGCGUGAAGUAGACCGCCUGGGGAGUACGGUCGCAAGAUUAAAACUCAAAGGAAUUGACGGGGACCCGCACAAGCGGUGGAUGAUGUGAUUAAUUCGAUGCAACGCGAAAAACCCUUACCUACCCUUGACAUGUCAGGAAGUCCGGAGAGAUCUGGAUGUGCCCGAAAGGGAGCCUGAACACAGGUGCUGCAUGGCUGUCGUCAGCUCGUGUCGUGAGAUGUUGGGUUAAGUCCCAGCAACGAGCGCAACCCUUGUCAUUAGUCGCUACGAAAGGGCACUCUAAUGAGGACUGCCGGUGACAAUCCGGAGGAAGGUGGGGAUGACGCCAAGUCCUCAUGGCCCUUAUGGGUAGGGCUUCACACGUCAUACAAUGGUACAUACAGAGGGCCGCCAACCCGCGAGGGGAGCUAAUCCCAGAAAGUGUAUCGUAGUCCGGAUCGCAGUCUGCAACUCGACUGCGUGAAGUUGGAAUCGCUAGUAAUCGCGGAUCAGCAUGCCGCGGUGAUACGUUCCCGGGUCUUGUACACACCGCCCGUCACACCAUGGGAGCGGGUUUUACCAGAAGUAGGUAGCUUAACCGCAAGGAGGGCGCUUACCACGGUAGGAUUCGUGACUGGGGUG